rnacentral:rRNA from 1 species
GGAUUAGAUACCCUGGUAGUCCACGCCGUAAACGAUGAGCACUAGGUAGCCGGCGGAUCCGACCGUUGGCUGCUGUAGAUAAUUCACUAAGUGCUCCGCCUGGGGAGUAUGGUCGCAGGGCUGAAACUCAAAGGAAUUGACGGGGGCUCACACAAGCGGUGGAGGAUGUUGCUUAAUUCGAAGCAACGCGAAGAACCUUACCAGGGUUUGACAUGCAGGGAUUAACCCCAUGAAAGUGGGGGGAUUGCCUUCGGGUGUAACCUGCACAGGUGUUGCAUGGCUGUCGUCAGCUCGUGCCG